AGCGAACGCUGGCGGCAGGCCUAACACAUGCAAGUCGAACGGAUCCUUCGGGAUUAGUGGCGGACGGGUGAGUAACACGUGGGAACGUGCCCUUUGGUUCGGAACAACUCAGGGAAACUUGAGCUAAUACCGGAUGUGCCCUUCGGGGGAAAGAUUUAUCGCCAUUGGAGCGGCCCGCGUCUGAUUAGCUAGUUGGUGGGGUAAAGGCCCACCAAGGCGACGAUCAGUAGCUGGUCUGAGAGGAUGAUCAGCCACAUUGGGACUGAGACACGGCCCAAACUCCUACGGGAGGCAGCAGUGGGGAAUCUUGCGCAAUGGGCGAAAGCCUGACGCAGCCAUGCCGCGUGAAUGAUGAAGGUCUUAGGAUUGUAAAAUUCUUUCACCGGGGACGAUAAUGACGGUACCCGGAGAAGAAGCCCCGGCUAACUUCGUGCCAGCAGCCGCCGUAA
rnacentral:rRNA from 1 species